AGAGGUCCCAAGCGUUGUUCGGAUUCACUGGGCGUAAAGGGUGCGUAGGCGGUCGGGUAAGUCUAACGUGAAAUCUCCGAGCCUAACUCGGAAACUGCGUCGGAUACUAUUCGGCUAGAGGAAUGGAGGGGAGACUGGAAUUCUCGGUGUAGCAGUGAAAUGCGUAGAUAUCGAGAGGAACACCAGUGGCGAAGGCGAGUCUCUGGACAUUUCCUGACACUGAGGCACGAAAGCCAGGGGAGCAAACGGGAUUAGAUACCCCGGUAGUACUGGCCCUAAACGGUGCACGUUUGCUGUAAGAGGAAUCGACCCCUUUUGUGGCGAAGCUAACGCGUUAAACGUGCCGCCUGGGAAGUACGGCCGCAAGGUUA
rnacentral:rRNA from 1 species